rnacentral:rRNA from 1 species
GGUGAACGCUGGCGGCGUGCCUAAUACAUGCAAGUCGAGCGGACAGACAGGAAGCGUGCUCCCCUAACGGUAGCGGCGGACGGGUGGGUAACACGUACAUAACCAACCUAUAUUACGGGGAGGACUUCGGGAAGCCAGUUACAAUACUACCGAAUACGUUCAACGGCAGGGAGCAGUAGUUAAUCACGCCUUUCCUGUUACUUUGAGACGAAGCCGGGCCGCAUUAGCUAGUUGGUAAGGUAACGGCUUACCAAGGCAACGAUGCGUAGCCGACCUGAGAGGGUGAUCGGCCACACUGGAACUGAGACACGGUCCAGGCUCCUACGGGAGGCAGCAGUGGGGAAUAUUCGGCAAUGGGCGCAAGCCUGACGCAGCCAUGCCGCGUGAGUGAUGAAGGUCUUCGGAUUGUAAAGCCCUGUUAUUAGGAAAGAACAACUGUGUAAGUAUAUCUCGCCGUCCUGACGGUACCUAAUCAGAAAGCAACGGCUAACUACGUG